GGCAGGAUGGCCGAGUGGUCUAAGGCGCUGCGUUCAGGUCGCAGUCUCCUCUGGAGGCGCGGGUUCGAAUCCCACUACUGUCA
rnacentral:tRNA from 1 species